rnacentral:rRNA from 1 species
UACGUAGGGUGCAGGCGUUAAUCGGAAUUCCUGGGCGUAAAGCGUGCGCAGGCGGUUUCUUAAGUCAGAUGUGAAAGCCCCGGGCUUAACCUGGGAACUGCGUUUGAAACUGGGAGACUUGAGUGUGGCAGAGGGGGGUGGAAUUCCACGUGUAGCAGUGAAAUGCGUAGAUAUGUGGAGGAACACCAAUGGCGAAGGCAGCCCCCUGGGCUAACACUGACGCUCAUGCACGAAAGCGUGGGGAGCAAACAGG